CUCCUUCUCCCUCUCGCUGAUCAGACCUGCCCUCUCUGUCGGCCUUGUGGUUAUGCUGCCAGCUCUCUCAUUUGAGCUGCCUGACCUUGUUUGCAGUUCCGAGGCAAGCUUCUCGAAUACUCCAGCAACACUUGUCUCUGUGUCUGCCUGGCUGUGUGAGCGGCAGAAAGGAGCAGAACGCCACAGUUGCUUCGGUCCACGCCUGCCCAACAUUGUUCAGAAAAAUGGGAGUUUUCUUCAGUCGGUACACUUGCACUUACCCUCAGACCAGAGGGUCUGAAACUCUUGCCAUUGAGUGCCACUGUAAAGCAACUUCUGGAGGCAUCCCUGAAGGGUUCAUCACCAGGCCUUUGAAGAGUUUGCUCAUAUGCCAAGGAGGUAAUUCAGCCUUUUGGUUCAAGUGUUUUGGAGCAGGGAUACAUCGAAAGUUGCAAGACUUGAAAACUGGCGUUGCAGACCUCUGUCUUAGACUCAUUCAAGUAUAUAUAUAUUAAAAAUAAAUCAAAUCAAAAUCAAAGGAUGAAUCGGCACCGACAUUAUCGUUAAAUGGAAAAGUUUUUGUUUUUUUUUCUUACAAAGAACCAGCUGUAAUUUAUACCCUGUCAUGACAUUAUUUUCAGCCUCGAGUCUGAUUUGUUUCUGUUCUACAAUUAAGACGUACAAUGUAAAACUUUUUUUUUUUUUCUGUCUCUGUCAGGAGCCUCAGGCUGAAUCCAAUUUAAAGUAUUUUAGAAAGUUACUUUCUACUGAUGGAAGGUUAGGAAAAAAAAAAAAAAGUCUCAGAGUGAUCAAGAGUUUGAACAACACAGUGCGGCCCCACCUGUUUCAGAGAACUGCAGGUCAACUGACCAAGUCGUCUACUGCAUUUGUCUUUGCUGACAAGAAAGACAGAUUUGGCUUGUUUGGAAAUAUUUCCAAGUGGAGAAAAUUCAGAUAUCCCUGGUGUGGAGACUAAAGAAGAGUCUAUCUUAAAGUAGUGCAAAACUACAGUUGUAAGCUACAGGAGACUUCUGUUGGGCAGCGUACUGCACACUGGCUACCUGAGCAGUUAGCCUGACUAACCAGCUAAUAUCUGCUUGAUUUGUUACUUUGAAAACAGUAGAAAAAGUUAAAAAAAA